GCCAGCAUGGUGUAGUGGUUUAAGUAUUGGACUAUGACUCUAGAGGCCAGGGUUCAAAUCCUGGCACAGCCA